rnacentral:lncRNA from 1 species
AUUUAUUUAUUCCGUGAAACUUUGCAAAAACAUAAAUAACUGAAUUGACAAAACAACAAACCGUGACGCAGAGAGAAACAAAACACUACUCAAAAUAUAAUAACCCACAAAACCCAGGAAGAAAAACCCCCAACUUAAAUAUGAUCUCCAAUUAGAGACAACGAGGACCAGCUGCCUCCAAUUGAAGAUCAACCUAAAAAACAACAACAUAGAAAUAGAAAACUAGAACUAAACAUAGCUAUAGAAAACAUAGAACAAAACACCCCUGUCACGCCCUGACCUACUCCACCAUAGAAAAUAACAUCUUACUAUGGUCAGGACAUGACACUGUCUCUCUCUCUCUCUCUACCUCUGCCUCCCUCUCUCUCCAUCUCUCUCUCUACCUCUGCUUCCCUCUCUCUCUCUCUCUAUACCUCUGCUCCCCCCUCUCUCUCUCUCUGUCUCCCUCUCUUUUGCGAGAGAGAGAGAGAGAGAGAGAGAGAGAGAGAGAGAGAGGUGUAGAGGGAGGGAAGCAAGCAGAGGUGUAGAGAGAGAGAGGGAAGCAGAGGUGUAGAGAGAGAGAGAGAGGGAAGCAGAGGUAGAGAGAGAGAGAGAGAGGGAAGCAGAGGUAGAGAGAGAGAUGGAGAGAGAGGGAAGCAGAGAUGGAGAGAGAGGGAAGCAGAGAGAGAGAGAGAGAGAGGGAAGCAGAGGUAGAGAGAGAGAUGGAGAGAACAAUAGAGACAGAGAAAAAGACAGAGCAGCCAACCCCUCAGGACUAAAUACACCUCAGAAGAACGACCAAACAACUAAAAGGUACAGAAACAAAUUCACUUGAAUGUGGUCAGAGCGCCCCCAGGUGGCCGAGGAGGGUGUUAACUGUCUCAUUAAGUUUCAUAAGACGAUCAGUAGGCAAUCAUCACUCUGAAGACAAAUAAUACAGACAAUAUGAGAGGCACAGGCUGUAUCCCAAAUAACACAUCACAGGCUGUUUCCCAAAUAACACAUCACAGGCUGUAUCCCAAAUAACACAUCACAGGCUGUUUCCCAAAUAACACAUCACAG